UGCUUGACGGGUGGCUUCUCUACUGCUAAGCCACCGGGGAAGCCGUGUCAGGCCUUGUGCUGGAGAUGUGAUACCUGCAUGAGUUCAUGUCAUUGUCAUGCCCUUCUGUGACGUGGGUGCUGUAAUUAUCCCCAGGCGUUGGAAGGGAAACAGAAGCCAAGGGAAGAGAAAUCACCCGCCGAAGGACAUCCAGCUGAGAAGUGAUGGAGCCAGGACUCCAGUCCAGGUCCUGCUCCAAGCCCACACCUGCAUCCGCCAGCUCAUCCUCCGGGUGCACAACAUCGUCAGCUCUGCAGCCGCUGCCUCCGCCACCCGUGUUUCACCCUGAGCGAGCCCCCACCAGCACCAUAGGCUCGUCAUCAGGAUCAAAUGAGCUCUUGCUUAUUAAGUACUCAGAUCAACGUUCUGGAGACUGAAGUCCAGAGAGGGAAGGGGAGGAGCAAAGAGGAAAGGUGAGGAGUGCUUGGGCAUCUGCUGUGAGGUACACACCCAGCUGCACACCCAUCUGUGGGCACCCUUUCAGCGAAUCAGAGCACUCUCCAUCUCGUUUUUACAGGUAAUUGCUGAAGGAUUUUUGCUUCAAACAGACUCUGGCUUGUUUGGGGUGUGCGGUACUGUAACAUGGACCAAGGACAGGCAGCCUCAAUCCAGAAAUGCCAGCUGGAGGCCAGAAUGAUCCUGUUGUUAAGAGGAACCAGGGACUCAGUUGGAACAUUCUUCAGGGCAGAGAAGGAGUUCAUUAAGUGGCUCAGAAUUAAGAUGGGCAGGACUAAGGAAGAGUGGGACUUAAUUCCCUUGCAUACCCAGGGGAAGGGGUCUCUUUUGGAAGAGAUUUGCA